GCUGAGAUGUCCGAGCGGUCUAAGGAGCUGGAUUCAAGCUUAGCUUUCACGCGCACGUGAAAAUCCCAGUAGGGUAACCUGCGGGGGUUCGAAUCCCCCUCUCAGCA
rfam:Puccinia sorghi strain RO10H11247 Scaffold_342, whole genome shotgun sequence.